UACCGGCGCCUCAAGUGGUAGUCGCUUUUAUUGGGCCUAAAGCAUCCGUAGCCGGCUCUGUAAGUUUUCGGUUAAAUCUAUAUGCUCAACGUAUAGGCUGCCGAAAAUACUGCACAGCUAGGGAAUGGGAGAGGUAGACGGUACUCGGUAGGAAGGGGUAAAAUCCUUUGAUCUAUCGAUGACCACCUGUGGCGAAGGCGGUCUACCAGAACAUGUUCGACGGUGAGGGAUGAAAGCUGGGGGAGCAAACCGG
rnacentral:rRNA from 1 species